rnacentral:rRNA from 1 species
GUGUGGGUGAAGAAGGCCUGCGGGUUGUAAAGCCCUUUCGGCCGGGAAGAAAAGCUGAGUGCUAAUACCAUUCAGUCUUGACGUUACCGGAGGAAGAAGCACCGGCAAACUCUGUGCCAGCAGCCGCGGUAAUACAGAGGGUGCGAGCGUUAAUCGGAAUUACUGGGCGUAAAGGGUGCGUAGGCGGUUACUUAAGUCGGAUGUGAAAUCCCCGGGCUCAACCUGGGAAUUGCAUUCGAUACUGGGUAGCUAGAGUAUGGUAGAGGGUAGUGGAAUUCCGGGUGUAGCGGUGAAAUGCGU